CGACGACCUUACUCGGUGAUUUAGAGUUUAGGAUUCCCCGCUCUCCCCGCCGCCGCCCGGUUUCGACUUCUGGUCGAGGAGGAGGCGCUCUGGUAAUCUGCGACCCUCGUCUUCAAUAUAUUCUCUUUAUUUCUCCAUUUUAAGAGUCGAUCUUUAGUAAAAUGGUGCCCCACACAAUCCAGCAUCCACAUUCCCCCCACACAUAAAGGAAUGUAAAAAUGUCCUUUAUUGUGAGACAUCCUAACGUGAACAUCCUCAGUUUACCCGUCUCCUCACGAAAUUCUUCCUUAACUUCAAUUGAAGUUCAUUCCUUUUUGUUGACUGUUUCCUUAGUCCUGCAAAUUCAGCGUGUUUUCUGUUUCCCGUCUGUGGAAGUCUCCCCCACAUACACACCAGACCACAGGAGAAGGCUGUUGAUCGUUUAGCUGGCUUAUUAAACUCGCUAAGCAAAGGAUAGCAAAGCCUCAGUCACGGAAGUGUAUUGAGGGGCGGUAUGAGGGAGAGUUUGGGUGACACCCUGUGAGGGCAGUGUGGCAGGAAUCGGUCAGUUUGUCAAGCAGGCAGCGUCGCUAGUAGUCCAGUCCUGGCCGCUCAGGCCUCCCUGGGGAGUUACUGCUACUAUCGUCUUAUCUUGGAAAUUAUGGAGUCUAAAUAAGCUGGCGUUCCAAGAGUUUCGACUUUGACAUUUCGUCUUGCACAAAUGCUUGCGGAUUCGUUUGCAGAUUAUGGCUUCAAGGUUGUUUUUUUACACCUUCACUGGGCCUGGAAAACAUUCCUAAAGGAUUCUGGCUGUCCACUAAGGGGAAGCGAAAUGGCCCGGCUUCUCUUUCCCGUCUGCCAACAAGCCGAGGAACGCCGCCCGAGCCUUCUGCUACCGUUCUUGCUUUUCUCUCCUUCCCACCCCCUCCACCGUCCCUCCGGCCAGGCCGGGUUUGGAAUCCCCCUCCGGGUGAGUGACCCACGCUACUCGUGGCACAAAGGAGUCAAGCGUUCAUCAGUUCAGCAAACACAUGGGACCCUGGUUGGGAGACGUGCAAAAGGACGUGACCAAGACGUGUGAAUCUGAAGCUCGGGGGGGAGCGGUCCUUGCUGGAGCCACAGGUGCGGGGGGAGAGGGUGGGCCACGCUGACCUUGGGAAGAUGGACUCCGUAGAUGGAGAAGUCGGAAUAGAAGGAAAGCCAGCAGCGAAGCUGCCACCGAGGCCAAAAGAGCCGAGAUGUGCAAAAAGAGGGGAAAAUCGGUAGUCAAAUUAUGGUCUAGCAAGGGAAAGUGGUAAAGCGUCCAUGGAUUCGGCCACCUGCAGGCCCCUGGUGACCUUGAACUAGACUGGACAAGAGGGCUUCCCUCCCUGCGCUCUGGCAGAGAGGCCUUUCGGGCCACAGACACGUCCAGGAUCCCUACGCAAUAGGACAGCCUCUGUCCCAAUUCCUGGCUCCCCAGGGCUUCGGAAAUCAGUCAGCGACGGGAAAACAUUUUGCAAUAUUAAACCAUCGAGCCUACUCUUAAAUUUACGUAUAUGUACAUCUACAUAUAACAUUCGUUAAGCCUCAUCCCAAUUCUGGACAUUAAAUGCUAGCAUUGAUAAGUUUUAUUUUUAUAAAAUGCUUAAAAGAUUUCAUUACCUUUUCAAAAUUUAAUAAUAUUUUCAGUUUUAUUUAAAUAACAUUAACUUAAAUUUUGAUAUUAAUUAAUUUCUAUUUCCCUUUUAUUUUUAAUAGAUAAUUUCCCAUAAUUUAGAACAAGUGUAUAAUUAUUU
ensembl:lncRNA